AUUGAACGCUGGCGGAAUGCUUUACACAUGCAAGUCGAGCGGCAGCACGGGGGCAACCCUGGUGGCGAGCGGCGAACGGGUGAGUAAUACAUCGGAACAUGCCCAGUCGCGGGGGAUAACACUUCGAAAGAAGUGCUAAUACCGCAUACGUCCUGAGGGAGAAAGCGGGGGAUCGUCGGACCUCGCGCGAUUGGAGUGGCCGAUGUCAGAUUAGCUAGUUGGUGGGGUAAAGGCCUACCAAGGCAACGAUCUGUAGCUGGUCUGAGAGGAUGAUCAGCCACACUGGGACUGAGACACGGCCCAGACUCCUACGGGAGGCAGCAGUGGGGAAUUUUGGACAAUGGGGGCAACCCUGAUCCAGCCAUUCCGCGUGAGUGAAGAAGGCCUUCGGGUUGUAAAGCUCUUUCGGCAGGAACGAAACGGCGAGCUCUAACAUAGCUUGCUAAUGACGGUACCUGAAGAAGAAGCACCGGCUAACUCUGUGCCAUCCGCCGCCGUAAUAC
rnacentral:rRNA from 1 species